UCAUCAUAUCUUCCCCCUAACCAAGACCACGGGGUUAUAAUGUCUUCUUAUCCACUAUUGAAGGGAUUAGUGGAAAUACUGUAUCGU
rnacentral:ncRNA from 1 species